ACCUCCCACCGACCAGCAACCUUAGCCUCAAGCUGAGGAGACAAUCAACAAUCGACCAACGACAGGAGUAAUCAACAUGAUCUCCGAGCGACCAAAUAACUGGGGGGCAACUUUCGAAGAAGAGUCGGUGAAGAAACGACGACUCGAUAAUAUAAUUACUUUUUUGAAAGAUGAUGUUCGGAGAUUCAAACUUUUCAUGAU
rnacentral:lncRNA from 1 species